UAUGGUGUGAGUUUCAGAAUGAAAAAAUAAGGAUUUUGUAAUGUAUCAUAACCUCAUCAACGUGACAGAUGAGGAAUAGUACCAGCAAAGUGUAAGAGUGCUUUUCAGUGUGAGUUUGCAAGAGAGUAUGUGAGAGUGUGUGUGUGUGGGUGAGGGCCUGUCUGCCCCUCUCUCGCCCCCGGUCUCUCCUUCCCUCUGCAAACUGAGAUUAACUGAAUGCCUGUAAAAAUGAAUAGACUAAGAGACGCACAUAUUAUUAGGCAGUAAUGGCUUUGUUUGCAAACAUAGACUAAUAUAAACAUUCAUUAUUAAUUUACGUACUAUUAAUUGUAGCUUACUGAAGACCCUAACGACUUUUCAAGGAAAAUAACACUUUCACUUGUAAAACAUAUUGAGCAAGAGCUGAAACAUUAAAUCAUAUUCAAUCUCAGUAUAGUCAUAAUUCUUAUAUAAUCACCCUAACAAUAUAAAUUUGAAGCUCAUAAGCAUGUUUCCAUAAUUAUUAGCAUCCAUUUUUAAUACAUUUUUAUUGAUAAGUAAUACUGAACACUUCACUAGUAUAAUUAUCAGUGACACUCACUGUUCUGUCCCUUUAGAGGUAGAUCAGAGCUUAUUUUUCAACACUCUUCGUUGA